AGGCUGGACAGGGCUGGAGCAGCCUGGGACAGUGCAAAUGUCCCUGCCAGGGCAGGGGUGGCACUGGAUGGGAGUUAAAGUCCUUUCCAGCCCA